rnacentral:rRNA from 1 species
AUUGAACGCUGGCGGCAUGCCUUACACAUGCAAGUCGAACGGCAGCGGGGGAGAAGCUUGCUUUUCCUGCCGGCGAGUGGCGAACGGGUGAGUAAUACAUCGGAACGUGCCCUGUAGCGGGGGAUAACUAGUCGAAAGAUUAGCUAAUACCGCAUACGACCUGAGGGUGAAAGUGGGGGAUCGCAAGGCCUCAUGCUAUAGGAGCGGCCGAUGUCUGAUUAGCUAGUUGGUGGGGUAAAGGCCUACCAAGGGGAAGAUCAGCAGCUGGUCGGAGAGGACGAUCAGCCACACUGGGACUGAGACACGGCCCAGACUCCUACGGGAGGCAGCAGUGGGGAAUUUUGGACAAUGGGCGAAAGCCUGAUCCAGCAAUGCCGCGUGUGUGAAGAAGGCCUUCGGGUUGUAAAGCACUUUUGUCCGGAAAGAAAUGGCUCCGGUUAAUACCUGGGGUCGAUGACGGUACCGGAAGAAUAAGGACCGGCUAACUACGUGCCAGCCGCCGCCGUAA